rnacentral:rRNA from 1 species
CACGUAGGGGGCAAGCGUUGUUCGGAAUUGCUGGGCGUAAAGGGCAUGUAGGCGGUCCUGUAAGCCUUACGUGAAAGGCUAUGGCUCAACCAUGGCACGGCGUAGGGAACUGCGGGACUUGAAUCACGGAGAGGGAGCUGGAAUUCCAGGUGUAGGGGUGAAAUCUGUAGAUAUCUGGAAGAACACCAGUGGCGAAGGCGAGCUCCUGGCCGAUGAUUGACGCUGAGGUGCGAAAGUGUGGGGAUCAAACAGG